rnacentral:lncRNA from 1 species
UUCUUUUUUUUUUGCAGAAGCACUCUGAAAUGCACUGCGAUCUUCCGUUCUCUUGUCUGGUUGGCGAUGGCCAAAGGGAAAAAAUGCGAGGCACAACACAGCAGGUUUGUUACGGAAGAUGUAAAGCCGUAUUGGACAACGCCAGGGGCAAAGAGCUGACACUGCAGCAAACCAUGGAGUACAUUCCAGCACGAGAGGGAGAACACGAACCCCGGCCCUUGAAAUAAUCAGCACCGCAGGCGUGCACAGUGCCGUCUCAGUCGAACCCCGGCUGCAGGAACGCACCCCAUCGGCGCAAUCAGCACAGCGCCGCGGACGGCCUCCCGUGCCGACACGUCGCAGCCACGUGACGCAGAGCUGGUUAGCCGCCUCGUAUCGUUUCCUGUUGGGCCGCCUUGAUGCGGGCGGCUUUUUCAACCACAUCUUUCAGCACCCAAUCAUAAUUAAAAUCUGGGAGAAAGCGCACACAGAAACUAAUUAGUGACAAACACUCUUUUCGCUGCUCUCCAGCACUUUCCUCGAGCUCUCUGAUGUGUCAGCCUUGAGGUGUGUGUGUGCUCAAGAGGAGCUGGGGAGGAAAAACUUUUGAUUUAUUUUAGCACUUUUCAUCAUGAUCAAGAUCACAGAAAGCCCCCUUUUCCCUUUCAUACUGUAUGCUUUUU